AUGGCGCUUGUAGGCUUCAAUGAUUGGAUUCCCCCAAAGUGCUGUUAUUUAUACCAACACUUGGGGAUAUGGCUUUUCCCACAAAACUUUCUGGUCAUUUUCUCUUCCUAUCUUAGUGUUCUCACCAUGAAAAACUCCCAGUUUGCUGCCUCUUCUUCUAGCAAUGCCCGUAAGGCCUAGAAUUUGGUCGGAGGGUUAUAUCCCAAGUUGGGAGAACCCUUUUCCUAUUCCUCAACCUGGUCAAGACCAGGUAGUUGUUGAAAAAACUAUGAGUACUUUCACCAUGGAGCGUGGUGUGACGAGGGCGAAUACCUAUCUCUGUUCUUUGAUCAACGUUGAGCAUAUGCUUUCUAGGAUCCUUAUGGGGAUAGUUUUUGGUUAACCUCUUAAGGCUCACUUGAUUAAGUGGAAACUAGGACUGUUAUGAAAGAAUGAGGUGAAUAGUACUUUUUACCUUGAUCAUUACGGCAUAAAAUGGUUUGUGCUUGAGUUUACUGAUGAAGAUGAUAUGAAGUUUGUCCUCAAGAAUAGGCCGUGGUACGUGCGUGACCAAAUCUUCCACCUGGAAAGAUGGAAAACAAGCUUUAAGGAUACUAAUGUCAUUACCAAGCUGAUUGUUUGGGCGCGUUUACCUCGAGUCCUAGUGCAGUAUAAGGAGGAAAAAAUUAUUAAGGAUAUUACUCAACCUAUCGGGAAAGUGAUUAAAGUGGAUGAGGUGACUUUGGGAUUAAAUGGACUGUUUGUUAAGGUCUUGCUGGAAGUGGACUUGUGUUUUCCCCUCAAGUAGGUUUUUAUUGUUAAUCAUGAUGAAGAUUAUCCCAUUGUGAUUAGUUAUAAAAAGAUCUUUAAGUUGUGCUUCUAUUGCGGACGUAGAAGGUUUGAGAGACAUGUCUGUCCAGAGGUGGAAGUAGACGAUGGUUACUUUAUGAUAAACAAGGUGUUUGAGGAUGGGUCAUCUGUCUACCCAGAGGAUGUGAAUGUGGAUGAGGAUGUCAAGGCUGGUCUAGGCAAGGAUGUUAUGCUUUGUUUUGCAAAUGCGUCAGCUGUGGAGGAGGAGUUUACUGAGAAUGAUAAGUCGGGUCAACGAGUGGAGGAUGGGGGCCCGAAUGGGAGGGUUAGACUACAGUAACCCUUACGUGGAGGCGAAAAGGGGAAAAGAAAAAGUCAGGGGAUAUUGCUAGGGAUGAGAGAUCUUUUAAAGAGGUGGUUGCGAGCCUGAAGAAAAACCGGGUGGCUAGGGCAUAUUUGGUGCAGGAUUGGAGAAGAUCGGGAAAAGCUAAGGAGCAUGUCAGGAUAUUGUUAUCUCGACUGUUGGAAGUGGGGAGAAUGAAGCUAGAGAGAAAUCUGAGAGUUUUAUUGCUGCAAUGCUCGAGGUGGAAGCUACGUCUGCAAGUGCCAGGCUAACGGUGGGAAUGUUGAGUCCGAGGAAAAGAAUCCAAGAGGAAAAAGCCGAUGAGGUUGGUCUAUCUGCAUACCUUGACGAAAUAGAUUGAUGAAGAGGAUUGUGUGGAACUGUAAGGGAAUGGGACGGCCAGAGUUCAAGAGUAAUUUUAGUUAUCUUUGUGGUUUGGUUAAUUUAGAUUUCUUUUGUUUUGUUGAAACUAAGACUGAAGUGGAUAAGGCCUCUGUUAGUUACCUUAAUAGGUUUUUUGAUCAGUUUUUUGGAUGUAACCCCGACGGGAGGCCUAGAGGUGUUUGUUUGUGUUGGAACUCUGGUGUAAUGAAUAUCAAUGUGCUUUUUGCUUCAUCUAGAUAUAUCCAUGCUUUA